rnacentral:lncRNA from 1 species
GACAGCCAAGAAGGUUUCUCUGAAGAGCUCCGGGAAGAUUGACAUGUGUCAAGCGGUUAUGUCUGCUAAGAACGAUCAAGUUCUUUGGAAGCCCAUCGAUCCAAAAUCAAAGGACAUGAAAACCAGGACUCCAACUAUGAAAAAUGACAAUUCAAAACCGGAGGAUGACAAAACCAGCACUCCAAUUGCGAAAAAUGACGAUCCGAAAGCGAAGGAUGACAAAGCCAAGACUACAGAAAAAGACGAUCCUGGCCGUUGGGCUCUGAAGACGGCCGGGGUUGAUUUCUAUGCCUUUUGGAAAAUGCAAGACGACCUUGACAUUUCACGUAUAUAUACAAAC